GGCCGAGUGGCGGAAUUGGCAGACGCUCUGGACUUAAAAUCCAGUGGGGGGUAACCCCCGUACCGGUUCGAGUCCGGUCUCGGCUAC
rnacentral:tRNA from 1 species